rnacentral:rRNA from 1 species
CCUACGGGUGGCUGCAGUGGGGAAUAUUGGGCAAUGGGCGCAAGCCUGACCCAGCAACGCCGCGUGAAGGAAGAAGGCUUUCGGGUUGUAAACUUCUUUUAAGAGGGAAGAGCAGACACCGUUACCUCUUGCAUAAGCCACGGCUAACUACGUGCCAGCAGCCGCGGUAAUACGUAGGUUGCAUGCGUUGUCCGGAUUUACUGGGUUUAAGGGGCGUGUAGCCGGGCUGACAAGUCACAGGUGAACUUCCGGGGCUCAACCCCGGACCUGAAUUUGAAACUGUUGGUCUUGAGUCUCGGAGAGGCAGGCGGAAUUCCUGGUGUAGCGGUGAAAUGCGUAGAUAUUAGGAGGAACACCAGUGGCGAAGGCGGCCUGCUGGACGACAACUGACGGUGAGGCGCGAAAGCGUGGGGAGCAAACAGGAUUAGAUACCCCUGUAGUC